rnacentral:rRNA from 1 species
CCUACGGGCGGCUGCAGUGGGGAAUAUUGGGCAAUGGACGCAAGUCUGACCCAGCAACGCCGCGUGAAUGAUGAAGGUCUUCGGAUUGUAAAGCUCUUUUCUCAGGGAAGAAGAAAGUGACGGUACCUUAGGAAUAAGCCUCGGCUAACUACGUGCCAGCAGCCGCGGUAAUACGUAGGAGGCAAGCGUUAUCCGGAAUGACUGGGCGUAAAGGGUGCGUAGGUGGUUUGACAAGUUGGUGGGGAAACUCCGGAGCUAAACUUCGGAACUACUACCGAAACUGGUGGACUUGAGUUCAGGAGAGGUAAGUGGAAUGGCUAGUGUAGCGGUGGAAUGCGUAGAUAUUAGGAAGAACACCAGUGGCGAAGGCGAGUUGCUGGACUGUAACUGACACUGAGGCACGAAAGCGUGGGGAGCAAACAGGAUUAGAUACCCGAGUAGUC